rnacentral:rRNA from 1 species
CCUAUGGGAGGCUGCAGUGAGGAAUAUUGGUCAAUGGACGAGAGUCUGAACCAGCCAAGUAGCGUGAAGGAUGACUGCCCUAUGGGUUGUAAACUUCUUUUAUAUGGGAAUAAAAUGUUCCACGUGUGGGAUUUUGUAUGUACCAUAUGAAUAAGGAUCGGCUAACUCCGUGCCAGCAGCCGCGGUAAUACGGAGGAUCCGAGCGUUAUCCGGAUUUAUUGGGUUUAAAGGGGGCGUAGGUGGGUUGUUAAGUCAGUUGUGAAAGUUUGCGGUUCAACCGGAAAAUUGCAGUUGAAACUGGCAGUCAUGAAUACAGUAGAGGUGGGCGGAAUUCGGGGUGUAGCGGUGAAAUGCUUAGAGAUCACGAAGAACUCCGAUUGCGAAGGCAGUUCACUGGACUGCAACUGACACUGAGGCUCGAAAGUGUGGGUAUCAAACAGGAUUAGAUACCCGGGUAGUC